GACGAACGCUGGCGGCGUGCUUAACACAUGCAAGUCGAACGGAAAGGCCCUGCUUGCCGGGUACUCGAGUGGCGAACGGGUGAGUAGCACGUGGGUGAUCUGCCCUGCACUUCGGGAUAAGCCUGGGAAACUGGGUCUAAUACCGGAUAGGAGCCAUUUUUAGUGUGAUGGUUGGAAAGUUUUUUCGGUGUAGGAUGAGCUCGCGGCCUAUCAGCUUGUUGGUGGGGUAAUGGCCUACCAAGGCGGCGACGGGUAGCCGGCCUGAGAGGGUGGACGGCCACAUUGGGACUGAGAUACGGCCCAGACUCCUACGGGAGGCAGCAGUGGGGAAUAUUGCACAAUGGGCGCAAGCCUGAUGCAGCGACGCCGCGUGGGGGAUGACGGCCUUCGGGUUGUAAACGCCUUUCGCUAGGGACGAAGCUUUUUGUGACGGUACCUAGAGAAGAAGCACCGGCUAACUACGUG
rnacentral:rRNA from 1 species